rnacentral:rRNA from 1 species
GAUGAACGCUGGCGGCGUGCCUAAUACAUGCAAGUCGAGCGAACAGACGAGGAGCUUGCUCCUCUGACGUUAGCGGCGGACGGGUGAGUAACACGUGGAUAACCUACCUAUAAGACUGGGAUAACUUCGGGAAGCCGGAGCUAAUACCGGAUAAUAUAUUGAACCGCAUGGUUCAAUAGUGAAAGACGGUUUUGCUGUCACUUAUAGAUGGAUCCGCGCCGCAUUAGCUAGUUGGUAAGGUAACGGCUUACCAAGGCAACGAUGCGUAGCCGACCUGAGAGGGUGAGCGGCCACACUGGAACUGAGACACGGUCCAGACUCCUACGGGAGGCAGCAGUAGGGAAUCUUCCGCAGUGGGCGAAAGCUUGACGGAGCAACGCCGCGUGAGUGAUGAAGGUCUUCGGAUCGUAAAACUCUGUUAUUAGGGAAGAACAAAUGUGUAAGUAACUAUGCACGUCUUGACGGUACCUAAUCAGAAAGCCACGGCUAACUACGU